rnacentral:misc_RNA from 1 species
AACUUUUGGCAAUGGAUCUCUGGGCUCUCGCAUCGAUGAAGAACGCAGCGAAAUGCGCUAAGUAAUGUGAAUUGCAGAAUUCAGUGAAUCAUCGAAUCUUUGAACGCACGUUGCACCCUUUGGAAUUCCGAAGGGUAUGCUCGUUUGGGUGUCAUUGUACUCUCACACUCUCUGAUUCUUUGGAUUCGGGGAGCGGUGGACUUGGGUGUUUGCUGCUUUUCAUUGUGGCUCACCUCAAAUGCGUUAGUGCACCUCUUGGUUGGACAUAGUACGGCGUGAUAAGUAUCUUCGCCGGCACCUCGCGAGAGGGUGGCCGAUCGAGAGCUCUGUGCUUUCAAACCGUCUUCGGACAACAUCUAACAACUUGACCUCAAAUCGAGUAGGACUACCCGCUGAACUUAAGCAUAUCAAUAAGCGGAGGCU